GUUGGGGAUUUUAAUGAAAUUAUGAUUGCAAGUGAGAAGGAAGGAGGCAGUCAAACACCAAGUGGUAUGAUGUAGGCCUUCAGGAACUUUUUGGCUGAUUGUGAGCUUGAGGAAGUUGGAUAUAUGGGAGACCCGUUCACCUGGAGUAGGGGGUCAAUAGAGAGAUUGGAUAGAGUUGUGUGUAAUGCAGCAUGGUCUGACAUGUUUCCACCUUCAACUCUUAUUCACAAACAUCAUGUUCAUUCAGACCACAUGCCUUUGGUAUUGGAGACGAAACACAGUGAUGCUACUGGAUUGCGUAGGCUGAAUGGGGCAAGACAGUUCGAGGCCCGCUGGUUACAAGAAGAAACAGUCAAUGAAAUUGUUUGUACUACUUGGGACAAGGCAAAGCUAUCAGGAAUUGGUCCUUCUCUAUUGGUCAGAACUCGAGCAGUUCACGCUGAUCUCCAUCAAUGGGAUUGCGAUGUGGCUCCAGAUCAAGAGGAGAUUGUGUGGCAUGCUUAG
rnacentral:rRNA from 1 species